AGAAAAUGUGCACAAAACAUCUACAAGUGUUCACACUGACACAGUAUUGAGUUAGUAACCUUACUUAUAUUGUACAUGUACUUGGAAAACACCUAGAUGUGUUACACCAAUUAGCAAGAUAAUCCUAUAAAUAUUUUAAAUUUGCAGUGUAACAAUGGCUGAGAAAAAGAAAAUGGUCUUGGUGACAAACAAGAAAAAGUUGGGCCCAUGCAGCUUUACAGAAUGAGGAGGUACAGAUCUGGAUAAGGAUAUUCUGCCAUGCUUCACAUCAAAAGAAGAUGCCAUGCCUCAUUUUGCAGUGUCCAAAGGUCCAAGGUCGAUAGUGCAAGGUCAUCAAUGAUGCGGGAGGAGGCUGGAAAGUCUGAAGAAAAUCCACAUGUCCAAGUGAAUGACUACGAUACCCUUUCACACACAGCCACUGUCGAUCACAGCGAUCCAACUUGGAUGAGCUUCUUGGUACGCUAAUCCUUGACAUUUGAGGAACCUUCCCAAGCAAGAGUAUACCUGUCGUGUGUGUUUAGAUAAUACAAUGUAUAAAGAAUAAGUAUAAAUGUUGUUAAUCAUACUAAGAUUAUCAUGCUAUUUCUUAUGAGAGUUCAUUGUCCAUCAGAUUGUGAAAGAUGUAUAAUACAAAUCCUAAUGGAUUUAUA